rnacentral:tRNA from 1 species
GGUGGCUCAGUAGUAGAGUGCUUGUCUGGCAUGCAUGAGGCCCUGGGUUCAAUUCCUCAGCACCA